rnacentral:misc_RNA from 1 species
AAAACAUGUUACACAUGUUCUGUAUACAGUAAAGUGCGGUUUGUUCCGGCUUGAUAUCCGAGUUUUAAUGACAAUGGCAUCAGGACCAGAAAGAAACGUGCUUUCAAUUCAAAGUACCGUUGUUUUUGGAUAUGUCGGGAACAAAAGUGCAGCGUUCCCUCUGCAGGUGUGUUAUUAUGUCUGCCCCAAAGUCUACGCGCUGAUAUCCGCAGUCUACAGAUUGUAUAAAUAGUGUGUAAAGUCGAAUGUCCUCUGUUGGAUUUUAGAUAAAUAAAUUGUGGGAGUAUUGGUGCAAAAUUAUUGUGCAUGAGUUCCAUUGCAUUUUUGUGAAAACAAAUGAGAUAGAUGAUACUUAUGAUAAAUGUUCUAAAG